rnacentral:lncRNA from 1 species
AGCCGACGACGUUGUAGCUGUCACUGGAAGCCGGCUGAACGGAGUCUCCAAGCGCCAUUUGGUUGCCUUCGGCACACGGGCGCUUGAGCCAGGGUCGAGAUACACUUUCCGCCUUUUCGGCAGAGCCAUCGCCGAAGUUUGUGCCAACUACGAUUACGCUAAAUCCACACAAAUACCACGCGCUGACUACGCGGCGAGCGAUCACGUGCGCUACAGUGGCUAAGCUCAGGCAGUGGCUCAGGCCAUGGCUAAAGCCCAAUGGCUAUGUUAUGGCUAGUUUGUUGGAUACUUACGGCGCUCGCAUGCCCUUAAUAAUAAUUCUUAUUAUUAUUCGGUGUAGUGAUGUUGUAUGCGGUGCCCAACAAAUUAGGUAACAUAUGUGCUUAACCAAGACGGCAGUAAUGUUUCCGGUGUAUUCAGGCAGUGAAAGCACAGCCUUUGAGAUUAACAACGUCCUCCGAGAUUUAGCUGUCAAGGCGCGAUUUCGGUCACCAUUUAUCUCUAAUUUGAUUGCUGAAUUGUGUUAUAAAACAGGUAGUUUUUUUUUUGUCUACUGGGUUUUUCAAUUUAGUUUUUACAAGCCUCGUUUUUUUUACUUUCAAUUUUUUUUUUCUGUGGGGAUGGGUCAGUUGUGCUCAUGGUUGUGCUCACCUGCCCUACUGUUGCAAGGGGCAAGUUUAAUCGCCAUCAACACCGCAUAUGUUAUUGUUAUGCUUCUGUCACAUGUUCUGUCAUAAGCACGUGCGGGUCUGCGGGUGGUUGCAAUAAUUUCUCAAGCCCGAUACUUUGUCACAUUUUGAGACCGGCUGCCUUAAAUGAUGUUUGUGCUGGUGCGCUUCGUCAAUGAAAUUGACAAGACGAAAAGAUAUGUAAUAUCCGUCGAAGAUAUUCAUGAAUAAAAGCCACUCCACGUGCUGGACUUCGACAACAAACUUACAUAUAACGCUAACUGGAGCGAUCCGGACGUCGAGGAGGAGAGCGGCGAGUACGUUGUACAAAUUCUCAAGUUGGCAGAAAAAAAAGAAUUGAAACAUACAGACAAAAGAACACCUGUCCCGCCAAUUCAUACAUCUGAUUUGGAGGAUGUAGGCAGAGAGGAUCCUGAUCUCCGGACGAGCAGAAAAACUGCCACGCAGGAAACAAAAAGAAAACAGCAAAAUCAAGUGCGGGCCAAAAGGCAACAACUAACAGAAGUGCUUGAGCGGCACACCAAGCAUGCACUGCUAAACAACGCUACGGCUGCUGCUAAAACUGUUACGGCUGCAAAAAAGGAAAAGAGGGUAAGCCUACGGAGAAAGAAGAAAAUCCUGACUCAAGUGAUGAGGACAGCCUCAUCCAGAUGUCGGAACUUAAAAAUUCUGAAAAGGAGGCAAAGUUUUGGAAAAGUCGAUACAAGUCUCAGUGCGAACAUUCAGCAUUCUUGAAAAGGCAGGUUGAAUUCCUUGAGAAGAACAUCCAGCAACAGUCGACUGUGUUUUAGCAGACACUGGACAAUUUAAUCAGCCAGCCAUGUCAGGGUGAAAAUGGUGCAAUUUUGCUAAGGAGAAUGGUAGCUGAGUUGCCGAAACCUGCAGCACAGUCAACACUAGAGAGUGUUAGGUGCCACGAGAAACCCUAUGGGGACACUGUACCUGCUGCACCUACACCACAAGCUACAUCAGUGUCAAU